UGGGGAAUUUUGGACAAUGGGCGAAAGCCUGAUCCAGCAAUGCCGCGUGUGUGAAGAAGGCCUUCGGGUUGUAAAGCACUUUUGUCCGGAAAGAAAUCCUCUGGGUUAAUACCUCGGGGGGAUGACGGUACCGGAAGAAUAAGCACCGGCUAACUACGUGCCAGCAGCCGCGGUAAUACGUAGGGUGCAAGCGUUAAUCGGAAUUACUGGGCGUAAAGCGUGCGCAGGCGGUUUUGUAAGACGGAUGUGAAAUCCCCGGGCUUAACCUGGGAACUGCAUUCGUGACUGCAAGGCUAGAGUAUGGCAGAGGGGGGUAGAAUUCCACGUGUAGCAGUGAAAUGCGUAGAGAUGUGGAGGAAUACCGAUGGCGAAGGCAGCCCCCUGGGCCAAUACUGACGCUCAUGCACGAAAGCGUGGGGAGCAAACAGGAUUAGAUACCCUGGUAGUCCACGCCCUAAACGAUGUCAACUAGUUGUUGGGGAUUCAUUUCCUUAGUAACGUAGCUAACGCGUGAAGUUGACCGCCUGGGGGAGUACGGUCGCAAGAUUAAAACUCAAAUGAAUUGACGGGGUCAUAGCUGUUUCC
rnacentral:rRNA from 1 species